GAUGAACGCUGGCGGCGUGCCUAAUACAUGCAAGUCGAGCGAACGGACGAGAAGCUUGCUUCUCUGAUGUUAGCGGCGGACGGGUGAGUAACACGUGGAUAACCUACCUAUAAGACUGGGAUAACUUCGGGAAACCGGAGCUAAUACCGGAUAAUAUUUUGAACCGCAUGGUUCAAAAGUGAAAGACGGUCUUGCUGUCACUUAUAGAUGGAUCUGCGCUGCAUUAGCUAGUUGGUAAGGUAACGGCUUACCAAGGCAACGAUGCAUAGCCGACCUGAGAGGGUGAUCGGCCACACUGGAACUGAGACACGGUCCAGACUCCUACGGGAGGCAGCAGUAGGGAAUCUCCCGCAAUGGGCGAAAGCCUGACGGAGCAACGCCGCGUGAGUGAUGAAGGUCUUCGGAUCGUAAAACUCUGUUAUUAGGGAAGAACAUAUGUGUAAGUAACUGUGCACAUCUUGACGGUACCUAAUCAGAAAGCCACGGCUAACUACGUG
rnacentral:rRNA from 1 species